rnacentral:rRNA from 1 species
ACAGAGGGUGCAAGCGUUAAUCGGAAUUACUGGGCGUAAAGCGCGCGUAGGUGGUUUGUUAAGUUGAAUGUGAAAUCCCCGGGCUCAACCUGGGAACUGCAUCCAAAACUGGCAAGCUAGAGUAGGGUAGAGGGUGGUGGAAUUUCCUGUGUAGGGGUGAAAUGCGUAAAUACAGGAAGGACCACCAGUGGCGAAGGCGACCCACUGGAAUAAUACUGACACUGAGGUGCGAAAGCGUGGGGAGCAAACCG